AUGGUUAUAUCACAAUGAAACACUGGUUCCUAUAAAAACACUGAAGUUAAGCAACAUCAAGCCUGGUCAGUACCUAAGUGGGUAACCACUUGGGAAUACCAGGUGCUGUAAG